rnacentral:rRNA from 1 species
CCUACGGGUGACUGCAGUCGAGAAUCAUUCACAAUGGGGGAAACCCUGAUGGUGCGACGCCGCGUGGGGGAAUGAAGGUCUUCGGAUUGUAAACCCCUGUCAUGUGGGAGCAAAUUAAAAAGAUAGUACCACAAGAGGAAGAGACGGCUAACUCUGUGCCAGCAGCCGCGGUAAUACAGAGGUCUCAAGCGUUGUUCGGAAUCACUGGGCGUAAAGCGUGCGUAGGCUGUUUCGUAAGUCGUGUGUGAAAGGCGCGGGCUCAACCCGCGGACGGCACAUGAUACUGCGAGACUAGAGUAAGGGAGGGGGAACCGGAAUUUUCGGUGUAGCAGUGAAAUGCGUAGAUAUCGAGAGGAACACUCGUGGCGAAGGCGGGUUCCUGGACAUUAACUGACGCUGAGGCACGAAGGCCAGGGGAGCGAAAGGGAUUAGAUACCCUUGUAGUC